rnacentral:lncRNA from 1 species
UGGGGUGCAUCAACUAACACCAAAUAACUAUGUUUGGAAAGGAAACAAUCGGGCAAUUCACUUGUUUCUAGUAAAGUCUCUUUCACUUGCUAUUUAUAGAGACUCGUAAACGUACUGUAUAUAUGAGCUUUGACAAGUGUGUGUUUAAUGGUAUCGAUAAAUCUGCUUUGACAAGUGUGUGUUUAAUGGUAUCGAUAAAUCUGCUUUGACAAGUGUGUGUUUAAUGGUAUCGAUAAAUCUGCUUUGACAAGUGUGUGUUUAAUGGUAUCGAUAAAUCUGCUUUGACAAGUGUGUGUUUAAUGGUAUCGAUAAAUCUGCUUUGACAAGUGUGUGUUUAAUGGUAUCGAUAAAUCUGCUUUGACAAGUGUGUGUUUAAUGGUAUCGAUAAAUCUGCUUUGACAAGUGUGUGUUUAAUGGUAUCGAUAAAUCUGCUUUGACAAGUGUGUGUUUAAUGGUAUCGAUAAAUCUGCUUUGACAAGUGUGUGUUUAAUGGUAUCGAUAAAUCUGCUUUGACAAGUGUGUGUUUAAUGGUAUCGAUAAAUCUGCUUUGACAAGUGUGUGUUUAAUGGUAUCGAUAAAUCUGCUUUGACAAGUGUGUGUUUAAUGGUAUCGAUAAAUCUGCUUUGACAAGUGUGUGUUUAAUGGUAUCGAUAAAUCUGCUUUGACAAGUGUGUGUUUAAUGGUAUCGAUAAAUCUGCUUUGACAAGUGUGUGUUUAAUGGUAUCGAUAAAUCUUUAAGAGAAAUCGAAGUUGUGGUCCAUUUUUUUGGGGAAUUUCAGACGAGGAAUAGCUGAUGAGCACCAGUUUAUUUGCUUCAGAUUCAGAC